UACGUAGGGGGCUAGCGUUGCUCGGAAUUACUGGGCGUAAAGGGCGCGUAGGCAGAUAGUUUAGUCAGAGGUAAAAGCCCAGGGCUCAACCUUGGAACUGCCUUUGAUACUGAUUAUCUUGAGUACGGGAGAGGUGUGUGGAACUCCGAGUGUAGAGGUGAAAUGCGUAGAUAUUCGGAAGAACACCAGUGGCGAAGGCGACACACUGGCCCGUUACUGACGCUGAGGCGCGAAAGCGUGGGGAGCAAACAGG
rnacentral:rRNA from 1 species